UUCGUCAUCUUUGUCUUUUCUAUUCACUUGCAUGAUCGAUAUGGUCAUGAUCGCAUUCCACUGACUAUCAUUUGGCAGCUAAUCCCAAAUAAAACGAAGAUCUUAUUCAAGAGCCCAUUCACCUCUUUGGACUGCCAAGAUGUUAACCUAACCAAGCAAUGGAUAAUAACAGGCCAUAUACGGGGAUAUGUUUGCAUUUGGAACGGUCAAACACAGGCAAGUGAUACAUACUUA